rnacentral:rRNA from 1 species
GCUCGUAGUUGAAUUUCGGGAUCAAUAUUUCGGUCAUGCCGUUGGUAUGCACUGUUAUCAUUGAUUUCUCACCUUCUAAAGAACCGUAAUGCCAUUAAUUUGGUGUUACGGGGAAUUAGGACUGUUACCUUGAAAAAAUUAGAGUGUUUAAAGCAGGCUCACGCUUGAAUACAUUAGCAUGGAAUAAUGAAAUAGGACAUCCGAUUCUAUUUUGUUGGUUUCUAGGAUCGAUGUAAUGAUUAAUAGGGAUAGUUGGGGGCAUUAGUAUUCAAUUGUCAGAGGUGAAAUUCUUGGAUUUAUUGAAGACUAACUACUGCGAAAGCAUUUGCCAAGGAUGUUUUCAUUAAUCAAGAACGAAAGUUAGGGGGAUCGAAGACGAUCAGAUACCGUCGUAGUCUUAACCAUAAACUAUGCCGACUAGGGAUCGGAUGAUGUUAAUUUUUUUAAUGACUCAUUCGGCGCCUUACG